rnacentral:lncRNA from 1 species
CUAAGUAACUCAGAAGUUUAUUCCUAUUGAUGGUGAUUCCAGACCAGAUAAGAGGAUGAUUAUGCUAUCACAUGGAUGUAGGCAGAAAGAAAAUUAUUUCUGGUAAAAUGGAACUUCAAAGAGGAACCCCAAAUCAAAAUGUGCAGUUAUCCCCCAUCCCCUGCCCCGAUUCCAACCUAUAUUAAUACCAACCCUUUAUGUGAUGGAAA